CCUACGGGAGGCAGCAGUAGGGAAUAUUGCUCAAUGGGGGAAACCCUGAAGCAGCAACGCCGCGUGGAGGAUGAAGGUUUUAGGAUUGUAAACUCCUUUUGUUAGAGAAGAUUAUGACGGUAUCUAACGAAUAAGCACCGGCUAACUCCGUGCCAGCAGCCGCGGUAAUACGGAGGGUGCAAGCGUUACUCGGAAUCACUGGGCGUAAAGAGUGCGUAGGCGGGGUAAUAAGUCAGAUGUGAAAUCCUGUAGCUUAACUACAGAACUGCAUUUGAAACUGUUACUCUGGAGUGUGGGAGAGGUAGGUGGAAUUCUUGGUGUAGGGGUAAAAUGCGUAGAGAUCAAGAAGAAUACUCAUUGCGAAGGCGACCUGCUGGAACAUUACUGACGCUGAGGCACGAAAGCGUGGGGAGCAAACAGGAUUAGAUACCCCGGUAGUC
rnacentral:rRNA from 1 species